AUUAUUGUAAGAAAUUGACUUUAUUACUAGGGGUGUAAAAAAAUAUCGAUAUACAUGAGUAUCGCGAUAUUCUGUUGUGUGAUACUGUUUAGAUUCUCCAAAACACUGUUUUGAUUUUUUUAUUAACCUCUUAAA